ACCCUAUCUGGGGGAUGGCUUGGCUUGGAACGCCUAUGAAGGACGUGGUAAGCUGCGAUAAGCUCAUGCGAGGCGCAUACAGCCGUAGAACAUGAGAUUUCCGAAUGGGACUUCCUGCUCUUUUGAGCGAUUCGUAAGAAUCGGGAACGCGGGGGAUUGAAGCAUCUUAGUACCCGCAGGAAGAGAAAUCAAACGAGAUUCCGUUAGUAGAGGCGAUUGAACACGGAACAGGGCAAACUGAAUCCCGCAAGGGAGAUGUGGUGUUAUAGGAAAUCUCUUACGACUUAGGAAAGGAUGCCGAAGUUGUCUGGAAAGGCACAUCAUAGAGGGUGAUAAUCCCGUAGGUAUAACUAACUUGAGUUUGAGAUUUUCCUGAGUACCGUGCGUUGGAUAUCGCGCGGGAAUUUGGGAGGCAUCGACUUCCAACCCUAAAUACGUUCCAAGACCGAUAGUGCACUAGUACCGUGAGGGAAAGCUGAAAAGCACCCUUAACCGGGUGUGAAAAGUGCCUGAAACCAGAUAGGUAUCGUAUGGCAUGGCUCCAAAGGCAACUAUUCUGAAGGAAUCCAUUGUAAAAUGGUAGUACGAGGAAUAGAGUCCAGAGUUGUGUCGUCCGUUUCGAAAAACGGGCCGGGGAGUAUAUUGUUGUGGCGAGCCUAAGACCUUUAUGGUCGGAGGCGUAGGGAAACCAACAAGUCCGCAAGCUUUUGCUGAGGGACGGGGUCUUAAGGGCCCGGAGUCACAGCGAUAUGACCCGAAACCGGGCGAUCUAGGCCAGGGCAAGGUGAAGUCCCUCAUCAGAGGGAUGGAGGCCUGCAGAGGUGCUGCCGUUCGAAGCGCUCUUCUGACCUUGGUCUAGGGGUGAAAGGCCAAUCGAGCCCGGAGAUAGCUGGUUCCCCCCGAAGUAACCCUAAGGUUAGCCGGAGGUUAGGUAGAUAGCAGGGUAGAGCACUGAUAGAGGGGUUAGGGGACGAAAGUCCUCGCCUUUCUGUCAAACUCCGAACCUGUUAUCGCUGCAGCCUCUGAGAAAGGGCAUACGGGUAAGCUGUAUGUCCGAGACGGGAAUAGCCGCGACUCAGGUUAAGGUCCCUAAGUACUGAUUAAGUGUGAACACGAAGGGCGUCCUUGGCCUAAGACAGCAGGGAGGUUGGCUUAGAAGCAGCCAUCCUUAAAAGAGUGCGUAACAGCUCACCUGUCGAGGUCAGGGGCCCCGAAAAUGGACGGGGCUAAAUCAGUUACCGAGACCUGAGGGCACCGAAAGGUGAUCCGGUAGGGGGGCGUUCUGUAAGGGCAGAAGUUUGGCUGUGAAGUCAAGUGGACCUUAUAGAAAUGAAGAUCCCGGUAGUAGUAACAGCACAAGUGGAGUGAGAAUCUCCACCGCCGAAGGGGCAAGGGUUUCACAGCAAUGUUCGUCAGCUGUGAGUAAGCCGGUCCUAACUUCCGAGGUAACUCCUUUGGAAGGAAAGGGAGACAGGUUAAUAUUCCUGUGCCAUCUAAAUACACGCGGCAACGCAAGGUUAGUUUCUGACGCUUCAGGGUAUGCUAACUACUCUUGUCUGGGUAGUCAAAUGUAUAAGUCUGGGGAGAAUUGUAAUAAUGAGAACCAGAUGAAAGCAUGAUGAUCCAUCCUUUAGGAUGGUUUGGUAGAUCUCUGGAGCCCGUGAAAAGGGAACUAUCAUGGAUUUUAGAUGACCGUACCCAGAACCGACACUGGUGCCCCUAGGUGAGUAUCCUAAGGCGUAUCGGAUGAAUCUAGUCGAGGGAAGUCGGCAAAAUGGCUCCGUAACUUCGGGAGAAGGAGUGCCAGUGACCUUGUUAAGGGGUCGCUGGUCGCAGUGACCAGGGAGGUCCGACUGUUCAAUACAAACACAGGUCUUAGCUAGUCUGAAAAGAUGUGUACUAAGGCCGACGCCUGCCCAGUGCUGGUACGUGAACCCCGGGUUCAACCGGGCGAAGCGCCAGUAAACGGCGGGGGUAACUAUAACCCUCUUAAGGUAGCGAAAUUCCUUGUCGGGUAAGUUCCGACCUGCAUGAAUGGCGUAACG
rnacentral:rRNA from 1 species